rnacentral:tmRNA from 1 species
GGGGGUGUAAUGGUUUCGACACAUAUAGGUGGUUGAGCGUUGCAGUAGUGUGGCAGACUAUAAUUGCUACUAGGCUUUCUUAAACGGAAAAUCUGAAAAACAAGCUGAAGAAUUUUCAUUCAGCAACCCAGCUUUCGCUGGAACACAAAGCUUUGCAUUUGCUUAAUAAAUAGCAGUAAAGUCGUUUUUGACCGACUCCUUUAAGUUAAAAAUGUUGUUAAAAAGGAUAGCUAAAGAAAAUGAUCGCAGCUUUAGUGAAAUUAGAUCAAUUAUCAAAAACUUUCUUGUUUGUUCUAGUUUUCGAUAAUUACAAAGAAUAAACUAAACUGUAGAAGCGUAAAAUUUGCUUAUGUGUGGACACGGGUUCGACUCCCGUCAUCUCCACCA